rnacentral:RNase_P_RNA from 1 species
AGAGUCGGUGAGGUGGUUGCGAGUUCACUAGCUGAAUUCGAGGAAAGUCCGGGCUUCCGAAAGACUAAACUUGCUGGGUAAUUCCCAGUGCGUGCGAGCGUGAGGAUAGUGCCACAGAAAAAUACCGCCGUAGAAGGUGGAUGGUGAAUGGUGGAUGGUGAAAACUAUUCACUAUUCACUAUUCACUUUUAUUGGUAAGGGUGCAAAGGUGCGGUAAGAGCGCACCAGCAGUAUCGAGAGGUACUGGCUCGGUAAACCCCAGUUGGAAGCAAGGCAGGAACUACGGUUAGUCUUUUACCAGUUUCGAUUUAGAUCCGCUUGAGGUACUUGGUAACAAACUACCCAGAUAGAUAACCGCCGUCUCGCAAGAGAUAACAGAACCCGGCUUACGUUCUGACUCUUUUC